rnacentral:rRNA from 1 species
GCGAAUGCCGGGGCGGGGGCGGCGGUAAGACGGCUGGGUCAAGCAUUGAUCUGAAUGACUGGGCGGAAAGGGCGCGUUGGCGGCAAGAAAAGUCAGAUGGUAAAUUCCGGUGCUCAGCCCCGGAGCUGCAUUUGAAACUUUCUAGCUAGAGGUUGGUAAGGGAAAACGGAAUUCCACGUGUAGCGGUGAAAUGCGUAGAUAUGUGGAAGAACACCGGUGGUGAAGACGGUUUUCUGUGCCAAACCUGACGCUGAGGCGCGAAAGCUAGGGGAGCAAACAGGAUUAGAUACCCCAGUAGUC